UUAAAUAAAAAUAAGGUGAAGUUUGAAUCCUCGUUUUAAAUGAUUUUAAUUUUACGAAUAUUAUGUUCCAACUCAAAAAAGAAUAUUGCACAAUGUUUUUAUAUCACAAUUGUUCUUUUUCUCACUCUCUAGUGAGACUUGGAUAAACAUGGUUGACUUUGGAAAUAACACAAAGAGAACACCUUAGUUGGCUAAAUAAUUUCAAUAAUCUUUGAAGAACUGAAAGCAAGAUAUUACAUUCAUAUAAAAGACAAGUAGAUACCCAUAAAUUCACUUGGCUGUAGUGAAAAAUAACAAACUUCUCAUGUACCUAAUAAAACUUAAAGGAGACAAAAUUGAUAAUGCUGUGAAAAUAUAAUGUAACACCAAAAUUUUUCAAUGCACUUUUUUGCUUUCGUAAAUCCAUUAAUUAAACUGCAAGACUUGUAAGAAUAUCUGAUCACAAUGUAAGCCUCUUAUAAUGGAGAGGCUGACAUCUGAUAUUUUUUAAACAAAAUCUAAAUAAAUACAAUCUGCACUGGUAAAAAUAACAAAAUCUGUGAAUGGUAAGGCAAAAUUACCUAAACGAUAUAAAUGAAAAAACAACACCAAAAAAUAAACGUAUUAUGUGAUGGCACCUAUAAACAUUUCUAUUCAAAUUUAUUAAUCUAUAACAUUUUCCCUAUGUAUCAUAUGUUUCCCUAUGUUAUCAUAUAGUUAUGGAGUAAAUGUUGACAAUGUAAGACAAUAAAAUAUUAGUGGUCACUAAACAAAGUUAAUUCCAGGAAAAUUUCCUAAUUUUUAUGAAUUUAUUACAAUAAUUUUUAUUGUUUUCCUCUUUGCCUUCUAAUUAGUAUUUUUAGCAGGAGCUUAGCACUGGAGUCCAAGGGGGGUUGUAUGCCUCAGGUGCCAGUUGUGGGAUUUUUUUAACUUCCAUUUUGCAUUGUUGUUAUUUUAGAAUUGUUCCUCAUCAGAUUCAUAACACACCCAACUUUUGCUGUUUUUUAUUCACUUCCAGGAAAAUUCAACCACAGCAAAAAGAGAAAGAACAAAAUAUUGUCUGAAAUUGUCAAAAUAUUGACAAAAUAUUGUCUGAUAUUAUCAAAAUAUUGUCUGUCAUUUUGUCUGAUCCAACAUUUACUCUUGCUCUACCACUGGUUUUUAGAACCUGUGAAUUAUUUCAAUAGCGCUAGUGUCUUUUUUAAUGCUUAAGCUAGGUAUUCCACAUCAUGAAUUUUUUUUUUUAUGGUUGUCCUAAGAGACAAUUAAUUCUUCACAUUUUGUGAACAUUCUAGGCAUCUAUCAUCUGGAAAAUUUAUCCACUGUCUGCAGAAGAUACCUCAAAAAAUCUCUACAGAAGAUACCUCAAAAAAUGCUCUUAUCAAAAAAAAAAGGGUAAAAUAAUGGGUAGUUCAAUUGUUGCACUUUAAACUGGAAUCAUUUCAGAAAAUACAAUUCUUCCAUUCAAAACUGAUUAUCUUUCAUAUUGAUGAUUGGAGAUUUACUUACAAUGAAAGAUAUAGAAAUUAUGUGAGUCUAGGAUGGUUCCAGGGUUGCACGUGGAGGCAAUUUUUUUCAACUGGAUGUGGAUAUUGGGAUAAGACUAUUUAUGAUCUUAUUUGUUUAUUCAUUAGAUAAGGAUACAACUAGUUGGUGUUUUCACUUUUCUGUUAAUUUUUAAUAUUUUUUUGUUUCAGAACAAUUUUUUUUAUUAAUUUUUAUUAGUUUUACUCAUCUGUCACUCAGAUUCCAUUUAGGUUUGCAUAGAGGACUUAAUCACAGCAUGAGCAGAAAAGGUCUCAGCAUCCAUCUAAGUGACUCUGAUCGCACCACCAUACUUUGCAUCGCAAGUACCAAAUUUUAUUAUAAAGUCAAGAGAAAUUAAAACUUCAGAUCCAAGUGAAUUACUUGUAAUAUUUUAAAUUCCAGAGGUAAAGUCUCAUUCUCUAGCCUUUUAACUGUUAGCUUAAUAAAAUUCCCACAAGUUGAGAAAAAGUUAUUGCUUCAAAUGCUAAUUUGUGAUACAUCAGAAUAUUUUGCCAUCAGAAGUAUAACCAUGGGCAAAUAUGUAACUUAACUGUGUGUCAAAAAAAGAUAACAAUACAAGAUAAAACCCUUUUCUAAUUGAAAAUGCCUUUACAGUUCAGAAACAUUUUCAGAAAACAAAAUUCCUAGCAACAGUUUUUAAAAUCUUCACACAUACACACUCUAGUUUGCUUAAUCGUUAAUCAAAAGCUCCGAAGGAUAUGUGAUACUUUCACAAUCAUUCAAGCUAGGACAAGCCUACCAUAGCAUUUCUUUUACUUACAAAAAUCAAACUAAUUUUACAUAAAAUAUAAUUUAAUUUAUAAUAUCUACAAAUAUGAUUGCUAAUUCCACAAAGUAUACCUUAAAACCUUCCAAAGGUACCUAGGGGGAAGAAGUCAAAUUAAUUUUUCUAUUCCAGGGACUCAUUGUGGACUCACCUCUAUGGGCUUAUAACCUGGAUACAACCUGUCAACCAGAGAAAUGAGCCAACAGUGUUGUUUGCAUGGUUUUUAGGUAUUCAUGUGACACUGGGAAGCAUUCUUUCUUUAAUCUCAGUAGAGUUACAUGAUAUAUGAUUUCUACAUUCAGAAACUAGUAUGUCAAUUCUUCAUUUACCUUUAAAGUUAUCUUUUUAAACACCUUAUUGAAAACAUAUCCACGUUAGCAAAGUCUUUUUUUAAAAACCUGUGUUAUUAGGUUUUCAAGUAGACUUUAGAUGCACAUUUUUCCAUAAACCUAAAUUCGACAGCAGCUCUGACACUGAGAUUUGAGUAAAGCACAUUGUGCUUUUAUCUUUAAAGAAUAUAUUCUGCAACCUAUAUGCAGUUAUGAAAAAAUAUCUAAAUCCUACCUAUCAAGAAAAAAAAUGUUAUCUAUCAUGAGAUUUCUCUUACCAUUUUUUUAAAAGAUGCAGAUAUUACCUAGGUCAUUUUUUAUUUUUCGGGCUUUCAUUUGGGCAGACUGUGAGAAAUAUCUUGAUAUCACAGUCCUUAAUAUAAGUCUUGUAUAUAUAAGCAAAUAAUGAAAACAGAAAUAUAAUUGAACUGUCAGUCAAAGCAAUUCCCAUAACGCUUACUGGUUAAACUUACAUAUCUCCUUUUAUUAAUUUGUUCCGUAUGAAAUUCAAUUCAUCCAGGGGUUUUGGCACAGAACACUAGAAAGAGCAACUUUUAAAACUGGCUCUAGGUAUUUAAAAUUAAACUCUUAAAUCAGCG
rnacentral:lncRNA from 1 species